GAAAUAAGCCUUGAUUAAUGAUGAGUUUCUGUUCUCAGUGUUCUUUCUUGUAGAAGGCAAAACCUGUUUUCUGUGUGUGGAAGAUGACAGAUUGACAGCCCUGGGAAACUGGAAGCCCUCUGUUUAUUCCCGGUGCAGAUACAACACAACUAGUGAAAAUGCAAGUUUCUGUGAGCUACCCUGCCAAUGUAUUUCAGCCCUGAUCUACAAGUCCAGGGGAACAUUCAGGACACUAGAGGUCUGAAACCUGAUUCAAGAGAUCUUGCUGCAGCUGCCGUGUUCUAGUGCUAACGUAGUUGUUUGUUGAAACCCU